rnacentral:rRNA from 1 species
CCUACGGGAGGCAGCAGUGGGGAAUAUUGGACAAUGGGCGAAAGCCUGAUCCAGCCAUGCCGCGUGUGUGAAGAAGGUCUUCGGAUUGUAAAGCACUUUAAGUUGGGAGGAAGGGCAGUAAGCGAAUACCUUGCUGUUUUGACGUUACCGACAGAAUAAGCACCGGCUAACUCUGUGCCAGCAGCCGCGGUAAUACAGAGGGUGCAAGCGUUAAUCGGAAUUACUGGGCGUAAAGCGCGCGUAGGUGGUUUGUUAAGUUGAAUGUGAAAUCCCCGGGCUCAACCUGGGAACUGCAUCCAAAACUGGCAAGCUAGAGUAGGGCAGAGGGUGGUGGAAUUUCCUGUGUAGCGGUGAAAUGCGUAGAUAUAGGAAGGAACACCAGUGGCGAAGGCGACCACCUGGGCUCAUACUGACACUGAGGUGCGAAAGCGUGGGGAGCAAACGAGGUAUUAGACUACCCGUGGUACGUCCGACGACCGUAACCGUACGUAGUACACUACGUACGUUACGGUACGUACCGUUCGUAGUCGUUUACGUUGGUCGCGA